rnacentral:snRNA from 1 species
GUGCCAACGUUGGCAGCAUGUGUGCUACAGUUGGAGUGACACAGAAGAGAUUGGUGUGGCCCCUGUGCGAGGAUGGUGCACAGCUUUGUGAAGCGGUCCAUGUUUUC